GUGGUUUAAAAUAGCUGAAAAUGUGUCAUGGACGGACUCUGUGGCCCGAGAAAUACGGGAAAUGUAAAAACACUAAAAGGCGUGGAAACACAACACAUUUUUUAAAAUGAUAUUCAGGAUACCUAUAAUUUUUUGAGAUCUGCUAGAAUAUUGCCCAGUCGGCAAGGUUAGGAGCACUUCUUAGCCAAAGUUAUCCCAGUGAUCCACAAAAACAUAUAAUUAAUGUGAUAAAAGAUCAAUUUCUCCACGCUGAAUGCAUAGAAACGUAACUAAACAGUGGGUACCGAAAUUUCGGCACUACCUCUUUAUUUCAUAAUAGUAACAAAAUGCGCAACCGCGCAAGCAAUCUAAACUCGUUGAGCGACAUUUCUAGCGUUGACUCUUAGAUAUACUUAAAUCAACGCUUCUAGUCUUACCUUUACGAAACCAAUCUUUCCACCCCGUCCGUGUACAACCCGAAUGGAUACUCCAAACCUGUCCCUAACCUCCACGUGUUGUACCCUAACCCUAAUCCGGCGGGACUGCAUGUUUUGGAAAAGCACUUGAAUCUAUCGUAAUUCAUGGAAUUAAUUAACAAUUCCACAUCACGUUGAAUAAAGAUAGCAGCCGAGUGCAAUUAAGUCAUUUGACUAUGAAGUCUUACUUUAUGUGUGUUGUUAUUUCCACACCAGUGCUUAUUAUGUAUUUACUUGGUACUGUCAAAUUUAUCUUCGACCACGAGGGGAACUCGUGCGAGAUGACCUACAUGUUUGAAUAUCCUGAAUAUGUGCACAUUCCACUACAAGAAGAAAUCCAACAACAGUAUCCAAGAUAUGGACUAUACGCGUAUGGCGAAGGUUUCACCGUAUCGAGAAUACGAGCCAUGCACUUCUCUGGUAUUCCAGUAUUAUUUAUCCCUGGAAACGCUGGUUCACAUCAUCAAGUGAGAUCAUUGGCAUCGAUUAGUUUGAGGAAAAGUCUCAAGGAUGGGACUCCCUUUCAUUUUGACUAUUUCACCGUUGAUCUGCAAGGAGAAUACUCUGCGUUGUAUGGUGGUGUCUUGAAAGAACAAAUUGAAUUUGUGUCUCAUUGCAUACGGAAAAUUCUAAGAUUUUAUGGAGGCAAGAUAGACAGCGUAAUAAUUAUAGGACACUCGAUGGGUGGCAUUGUGGGCAAAGGAGUGCUGCUUGAUCCAAAUAUGAAUGUUAGCCACGUGAAUUCAAUAAUUAUGUUAGCCACACCCCACGAGGCAGCAUUGAUUUUUGACACUUCUAUAGCAACGAUUUACCAAAAUUUACAAAACCCCGGAGCACUUACCAAUAAGUCAAAAGUGUUGACUAUUUCUGUUGGAGGAGGACCUCGUGAUGUAUUGGUUAAUAGCAAUCAAAUUGUAGACCGGACAGCUGAUCUCAACGUCCUCACAACGCAUGUUCCUGGUGUUUGGAAAUCUACUGAUCAUGUAUCCAUACUUUGGUGCAAGGAAUUCCUUCUUGCCAUAAUACGUGCUUUAUUCGACUGUGUUGACUUGGUUGGAAGAUAUCCCAGAAUCACUUCAAACAAACAACACAAAUUAGACGUCUUCAAUUAUCACCUCUUACAGCGUUGUUGCGGUAAAAAGAUGGGUCAGUAUCAGACCAAAGUACAAUUUCGACUUGGUGGCGAAUGGAUCGAGGAUAUUCGUCGACAGUACACAUGGAAAGCUGCAGACCGAAUCGGCGCUACCAAUACAUCGCAGCUUUACCUAAUGAUCAGGUUGAUUGGUAUACAAGAUCACUUGACCAUUCAGACAACUAGAUUGGAAGCCAGAGAUUGGCUAUUUAUCUGCUCUGCAUCUACAAUACAGGGUCAUUCUAGAGUAUGUGAAUGGGGCUGGAAUUUGACGAACAAAAGUAGAAUAACCCCGGAUGGCACGUAUAAGAAGAAAACGGCAGACUUGGAUCUGGCGGAGUUGAAGGCACAACACUUGACGCACGUUAUAAUCAGAAUACCAUCCUCUAGUUUUCAUAAAGGGCUAUCCAUUGACGUAGACCUUCAUCGAAAGAGUGAUAGAAUAUCAAGUUUCCAAAAUAAACAUAUUUUGGCGUAUUGGGGUUUCGGAAAACUAGGCACAAUAGUAUCAAACAUUGGAGAUAUUCGAUACGAAGUGGAUCUGGACAGUAAUACGAAUUCCGUAUUGCUUGAAGUAAUCAACGUUCAGUGCCAUCAACAGAAUCAUCGCCAUCACGCAACAGUUGAGCUUUUCGAGCCAUGGUCUAAUGGUAUCAGUCAAGUUCGGCACUUUGCUUUUGAAAAUCUGGUGCCAAAAACUGUAAUAGUACAAACAAAAAAUGCGGCGAAUAGAGGCAAGGGUGUUGGCAAUAUGGCUCUCAAGCUAAAAUUUACAUUAGAUCCAAAAUGUAAAUAUACCAUUGAAGUGUUUAGUGGUGGGUUUAUAGAAACCCUGAGCACCGCAGUGAGAGAUCGUUGGCCAAAUGUUUAUGGGGUCAUGUCUGGACUCCUACUACUUGCUUUAGCAAAACAAGUAGAUCAUGAAAUCGGAUUGAUCAAAUCUACCAUCACCACUGUAAUCACGUUAGCUUUGUGCAUUGGUAUUGGCAUUGGCCCAGAAGGAUUUGUGUCCUUGGCUCUUCUACAGAUAUUUGCAGUUGUCAUUUGCUGCGCUGUUAUAAUAUUUGGUUCAACGGUAUACAACAUGGCCCAAAGGUUUUUAACACGCGCUCUGAAGUUUUCGCCGAUAUGGUCAGAAUGGUUGAUAGGAGGUUUAAUUCAACUGCCUCUGAUUGCUCCUACAAUAUUAUUGUCUAUGGUACCUGUCACAUGCGGAGCUUUAUCCAUGUUCACAUUUAUCGGACUACAAUUCCUCAAACUCACAAGAUUAUACGAGGAUUAUCUAGAAGAACUGUUAUUAACUUCUCUGCGGUCUAAUUUCAUCGAUAGAUUUCGAGUUAAUAGAGAAAAGCCAAGUAUCGAGGAGCAGAUUCAAAGUGACAGUCAUACGGAUGGAAAACAGAUUGUAUUUCAGUUGAUACUAUUCCUAACGUGGUGCAUCGCUGCCAUUCCUGCUAUACCUUCAGUCCUCACAUGGGCCAAGAAUUACAGAUUCAGUGUCAAAUUGAGCACAGAAGACCCUCUCCUGAUGGCUUGCUGGAUAAUAUUAGUUACUUGUGGUUCGACAGGCAUCAAAUGGAUUCCUCCCAGCACACCUGAUUAUUAUUCACAAGCAAUUGCGAUUGUAAUCCGAAUACUAGGAUGGACAGCGCUGGCAGUCACUGGAAUUGGCUAUCCCUCUCAGUACCAGUAUUUAAUGCCCCCGCUCAUUGCAGUAGCCGUUGCUCUUAUUACUAUCCGUUCUUUUAUUAAGAUUUCUAGCUGGGCGUAAUGACAAAUUUUAAAUAUUACCUGACGUGGCAUCGAUCACGUAACUUCAAUUUGGCCAAAAUAGUUGCAAAAAUGAAACACUGGCAUGAUCAUGUUCAAGUUUCAUUUGAUGGAAUGAGGAAGUUCUCAAGUUCUCCGAAACCAAAGUCGAGUCAUAUUGUGUACAUGUCAAUUACCAGAACUGACGUCUUUAUUUGAGUAAACAACGCAAUCAAUUCUGAUUUACCCAAUAAGCUAAAAGAAAAAAGAAAUUGGAAAUGACACAAAAAUUUGAAUCCUGCUGCAUUCAUUUUUUGAUCCCUUAAAUUGAAAUAUUCGAAAUUUGGCUCGCAAAUUAGAAUGGCUCAUUAUUCGAUUCAAAAAAAAAAAAAAACGUUCUCAUUGGUUGGACCUGAUUUUUGCACAAAAAAACCAGAAGUGCCAGAACUUUUGGAUUAGCCCCCGUUCCAAUGAUCUAUGUCGUGAUUAUUGCAUUAUUUUCGACGAUUUACUUUGCCUGAAUUGAUUAAUUACUGAAUACCGCUGAAUGGCAGCGUUUUACCAUCAUUGGAACUUUAUUAGAACGCGUAAGAUUCUAUCUACUUUUUCUGAAUAAUUAAAAUAAUAUCAAUAAACGGAAAAAAUGUACUAUAAUUUUUAUUUACAAGAUUGAAAAUGGAUAAAAAUGAAUACAUUUAACAGGGUGUAUACUCGAAUCUGAAAAUAAAUUUCCCUGACUUUUCCAGGUUUUCCAGAGAAAAAAUUUCAUUUUUUCCGGUCUCUUCUUCCACGAUUACAGACAGAUUUGAAGUGAUGCUCUUCAAUUUUUUAAUUUUAUAUUCUCUUUAUUAAACUUUUAUAUCAGGUGAGCGUCAAAAUGGCUAAGUUCAAAGGAAGAUCUAAAGAAGUGAGAUUUUGACGUCAUCUCCUUAUCAAAUUCAGCUGAUUGAGAAAUCAGCAGUUCCGAAAAAAAGCAAAAGAUCGCGAUGAAAAAAAGGAACGUCACAAAAAGAAAAGCUGAAUCGAAAUCGCGUGCCAAAAAAAACGACACCAAGUGCAUAAUUUGUGGCGAAACAUUUGACGAGGACUGGAUCCAAUGCCACAAAUGUCAAGACUGGGCUCACGAGGAAUGCGUUGAUAUAAAUCCAGGCGAUUUAUACUACACGUGUGACGGUUGUGUAGCCAAAGAACGAUUUCGGAAUUAAAUAUCGCAGUGGCCGGAGCUACCCGCCACUUUUUUUCGGAGGAUGAAUUUAAGCCAGAAAUUAACAUUUUUUUUUUAAGUUGUUGAUAAUUUAUAAUUUUUUUUGUUCGGAUAUUCUGUUGAAAUAUAUCUUUGUUGAGAUA
rnacentral:misc_RNA from 1 species